UUCACAGUGUCCCUGUGUGAAAAGAGCACAGGACUGAUACUCUGUCUUGUGCCACUGGAUCUAAAACUGGAGUCAGUAGUCCUCACGGAAAUAAAGCUGAAGGCAGGAAUGAAUGAACAUGAUUGCAACGAACUGGCGAACAAUGGAAGAGCGGAGUUAUUAUUGUUUCUUAGGCCAGAUUACAGAGGCCUGGUUUACCUCAGCUCUCUGCUCCUGGCUGCAUCUCGCUCACCUCCUCCCUCCUCCCCCUUCUCCUGCAGCAACAAAACCAUCUCUGAAACAUAGAGGACAUCACACUGGAGAGAGAUCUAUCAGAAACCACACCCAAGCUGUCGUGGAGGAAUGUCAGAUUGAUAUGGUUGGUCACACUCAAUGAAAAUGUGUGGAAGCUGGCCCGUUCAGCUCUGCCUAAGGUGGAAAUGAAGCUCCAAGCUAUUUCUGGAGGACAUAAUGUAUUAGAAGCUCUCAACACUUGGUGGUAUCUUUUCACUUGUAAACUCCUUGUUGAUUUAAUUUGGAGUUAACUCCAGGCAAGCAUCUUUCAAAAGACAGACAACCGAGUGGAUUCACAACUACUUGCCAUAAUUCCUGUUUGUGAUUCUUGGCCAAGACCAAAAUUGUGGCUUCAUCCAAAAUACCUCUGGGUUUCUUUACAGCUG